CAGUACCCGGAAGCAAGCAAAGAUUCUACCGUCUCUACGUUUGUUUUGAAGCUUU
rnacentral:sRNA from 1 species